UCCGAGAAAGAAGGGAAGCCCAUGCAUGGGAACCCCAUAGUCACUCCCCCCAUGGAAUUUGCUGGUUCCCAUAGCAGCCAAUGGCACACAACAGAAGGCAGCAGCUGGGACCGUGCAGCCUGCUGGACUGAGACAGCGGUUGGGGCUGGAGGCUGCCAACAAGGAGCCACCUGGAUGGACCAUGAUGCCAUUUCUGAGGUACCACCGACCUCGUAAGUGCCGCAAAGAGCUAGCGUACCUUUUCGAACCCUUCACUCCACGGCAAUCAAGAACGGCACUCUGCUCAGAGACGAGCACUUGGUGAAGUCUGCAGUCUCAGCGAUUAGGAGAAACACAUAACUAUAAAGCACAGAGCCAUGAUAAGCUGCAUCGUAAGCGUCAACACUGGAGACGGGAAUGAUAACCCACGACGACUCGAAUUAUUUUAGCCGCAACCCCCGGUACAGCACUAAGUUUCAGACGGAAAGUCAGUUUAGGCUCCUGGUUUUAUAUUCACAUUUAGAUGAAUGAAAAAUGUUUGUGUUUUUAAUAAGACCUCAUUUUAGCCCCUUGAGGCAAAACAGGGGCAGGUAAUGACUUGCCAAAGCAAAGAGAACAGCUAGAAGCAGAUGCAUAAUCACAGAAACCAUUAAAUUUUUGCACCUUAAUUUUUGGCAGAUUUUGUAGUCAAGUGCAACCUGACAAGAGUAAUGAAUAAACAGCAGUUCUAGACAUCUGGUAGUGUGGGAGGAAUAGAUAUUUUGGGCUAUCAGAUAAAUAUUCAAAUGAUAAAACUUACUGUUGAUCCCUCCCUCGGCAAGCAACUUUUGUGAAUGCUCAUGGUGGGCAAAUCUCUGGGGAACCUGAACACUGCACGGUCCAGAUCCCAAGUGAUACGAGGGCCCCAGACAUGCUGUUCAGUUAGAGGUACGGCGCACGCCUGCCAAACCGUGGGACUGACCCCUCCACGAAGGAGCGAGCAAGCUCCCCAUCACAGUGCUGGGGAGGUCCUGACGACCUCUGCCUUAGACUCUCCUUUUCUCCCCUUCCAUGGCUGAUGAAUUAGCUGUCAAUUCUUACUCAAGAACAUGUCAAUUUCGAAGAACAAGUCCCAGCUCAAUUUUAAGCAGGGACCCAUACCUGCCUCUUAAAGGGGCUUUGCCCCACCCACCGUGUUUUGUGCAUCUCAACAUUUAAUUCUCUGAAUUUAACCUUAUUGCUCGGUGUUCGUGUAGUUCUAGAUCAGGCAAGCUCGCCACUGCCCCAAGUAUUGUCUGUAGACCCUAUGUUAGCUGUCAACAAGUCUUUGGAUCUUUAAAAUUCAGCUUUUAAUCACAUGCAUGGCAUAAAAAAAAAAAAACAAAAAAACCCUAUAAGGAGAAAAAAUGAACCAGUAUCAGGUCCAGUUGCAGACUCUAAAAUCUUUCUGGCCGUUUCAACUACGAAAAGGCUGGAUCUUAGCAGCAAACUAAAUCCAAGUGUUAAAAGUUUUGUCAAAACUACCUCAGUAUUCGUAGCUGACUUCCAUCCUAGGAAAGAGUUUCAGAAUAAGAAAAAUAGACUACCUUACAACUAAAGGGAAGCUUCUUUAUUGCUUUAGUCUAGACUCCAUUUAUUAUCACAGAAAUUAAAUGCUGGAAAAGAAGGGUUUGCUUAAUGAUGUUGCUUAAUUACGGGUCUUUAAACGUAAAACCAACAUUGCCACCUAGUGGCAAUCGAAGGCACCUACUAAACAUGUCUAAAACUGCAAACUGUACACGUAAAGGACAAUAAAAAUUAAGUAUAAGCAAACUGAAAACACAAGCAUAAAUUAAAGCGCUAGAAGAGGUAUAUACUUCCGUGAAAUGGAACUGCUUUCUAAGCCUUAAAAGCUGAGAAAAACGCAUCCGUGAAAAUAACAGUUCCUAACACUGUCGGUGUGUGGCAUUUCGCUAGGUGCCGCAGGGGGAGACAAGAAGAGGUACAGAGGUCUUGCCUUCCUCCAGAUUCUGAAGGCAGGACAGAUGCCCGAGAGGAGAAAGGGCACUGCGGGGGAGCCCAUGCGGAAUACCGAAAGAGCGCCCCAGAAAGUAGUGCCCGUGGAUGAAAACAGCCGUCAUGGUAGACCAAGGUUACCAGAGAAGACACGGAGGAGAGGCUGUCAAAGUCACAAUAAUAAUAUUCCGCCUUACAAAGGA